rnacentral:piRNA from 1 species
UCUCAAAAAACGAGAAUGUUCACAACUCCC